CCUACGGGUGGCAGCAGUGAGGAAUAUUGGUCAAUGGGCGCGAGCCUGAACCAGCCAAGUCGCGUGAGGGAAGACGGUCCUAUGGAUUGUAAACCUCUUUUGUCGGGGAGCAAAAGACGCCACGCGUGGCGUUACGAGAGUACCCGAAGAAAAAGCAUCGGCUAACUCCGUGCCAGCAGCCGCGGUAAUACGGAGGCUGCGAGCGUUAUCCGGAUUUAUUGGGUUUAAAGGGUGCGCAGGCGGAAGAUCAAGUCAGCGGUAAAAGUGAGAGGCUCAACCUCUUCGAGCCGUUGAAACUGGUUUUAUUGAGUGGGUGAGAAGUAUGCGGAAUGCGCGGUGUAGCGGGGAAAUGCAUAGAUAUCGCGCAGAACUCCGAUUGCGAAGGCAGCAUACCGGCGCUCAACUGACGCUUAUGCACGAAAGUGUGGGUAUCGAACAGGAUUAGAUACCCCAGUAGUC
rnacentral:rRNA from 1 species